rnacentral:rRNA from 1 species
UACGUAGGGGGCUAGCGUUGUCCGGAAUCAUUGGGCGUAAAGGGCUCGUAGGCGGCCAACUAAGUCAGACGUGAAAUCCCUCGGCUUAACCGGGGAACUGCGUCUGAUACUGGAUGGCUUGAGUUCGGGAGAGGGAUGCGGAAUUCCAGGUGUAGCGGUGAAAUGCGUAGAUAUCUGGAGGAACACCGGUGGCGAAGGCGGCAUCCUGGACCGACACUGACGCUGAGGAGCGAAAGCCAGGGGAGCAAACGGG